GAUGAAUAACGUAGCGAAAUGCGAUAAGUAAUGUGAAUUGCAGAAUUCAGUGAAUCAUCGAAUCUUUGAACGCAUCUUGCGCUCCUUGGUAUUCUGAGGAGCAUGCCUGUUUGAGUGUCAUCAAAUUCUCAACCACUUCUUUUGAUGUGGCUUUGGAUAUGGGGGGAUUUCUUUUUUGCAGGCUUCUGAAAAACAAAGUCGGCUCCCCUGAAAUGUAUUAGUGGUGUCUGAGCAGGAGACUACUAUGGGUGUGAUAAAUCUAUCUAUGCCUUGGUACAACUGCUAUGCCGCUUCUAGCGAGUGCAUUUGACAAAUUUGACCUCAAAUCAGGUAGGACUACCCGCUGAACUUAAGCAUAUCAAUAAGCGGAGGA
rnacentral:misc_RNA from 1 species